UGUGAUUUAAUAGAUCGUACCUAUCUACUUGGAUAACUGUGGUAAUUCUAGAGCUAAUACAUGCAGCAGAGCUCGACCCCCUCGGGGGAACGAGCGCUUUUAUUAGACCAAGACCAAUCGGACCUCGUGUUGUUUUUUGUGGCGACUCUGUAUAACUUUGGGCUGAUCGCACGGGCUUGUCUCGGCGACGCAUCUUUCAAGUGUCUGCCUUAUCAACUGUCGAUGGUAGGUUAUACGCCUACCAUGGUCGUAACGGGUAACGGGGAAUCAGGGUUCGAUUCCGGAGAGGGAGCCUGAGAAACGGCUACCACAUCCAAGGAAGGCAGCAGGCGCGCAAAUUACCCACUCCCGGCACGGGGAGGUAGUGACGAAAAAUAACAAUACGGGACUCUUAUGAGACCCCGUAAUUGGAAUGAGUACACUCUAAAUCCUUUCACGAGGAUCUAUCGGAGGGCAAGCCUGGUGCCAGCAGCUGCGGUAACUCCAGCUCCGAUAGCGUAUAUUAAAGCUGUUGCGGUUAAAAAGCUCGUAGUUGGAUCUCAGUUCCAGACGGGCGGUCCGCCUAACGGUGGUUACUGCCUGGCCUGAACAACCAGUCGGUUUCCCUAGAUGAUCUUCGCCGGUUGUCUUGGGUGACCGACACGUUUACUUUGAAAAAAUUAGAGUGCUCAAAGCAGGCAUGACGCCUGAAUAAUGGUGCAUGGAAUAAUGGAAUAGGACCUCGGUUCUGUUUUGUUGGUUUUUGGAACACGAGGUAAUGAUUAAGAGGGACAGACGGGGGCAUUCGUAUUGCUACGCUAGAGGUGAAAUUCUUGGACCGUAGCAAGACGAACUACUGCGAAAGCAUUUGCCAAGAAUGUUUUCAUUAAUCAAGAACGAAAGUUAGAGGUUCGAAGGCGAUCAGAUACCGCCCUAGUUCUAACCAUAAACGAUGCCAACCAGCGAUCCGCCUGAGUUCCUCAAAUGACUCGGCGGGCAGCUUCCGGGAAACCAAAGUUUUUGGGUUCCGGGGGAAGUAUGGUUGCAAAGUUCAAACUUAAAGGAAUUGACGGAAGGGCACCACCAGGAGUGGAUCCUGCGGCUAAAUUUGACUCAACACGGGGAAGCUUACCUAGACCGGACACUGGAAGGAUUGACAGAUUAAGAGCUCUUUCUUGAUUCAGUG
rnacentral:rRNA from 1 species